rnacentral:rRNA from 1 species
CCAAUAGCGUAUAUUAAAGUUGUUGCAGUUAAAAAGCUCGUAGUUGAAUUUCGGGAUCAAUAUGCCGGUCAUGCCUUGGUAUGCACUGGUAUCUUUGAUUUCUUCCUUCUGACGAACUAUGAUGUCAUUAAUUUGGUGUCAUAGGGAAUCAGGACUGUUACUUUGAAAAAAUUAGAGUGUUUAAAGCAGGCUCACGCUUG